rnacentral:hammerhead_ribozyme from 1 species
GCACUGCUGACGAGUCCCAGCAAGGACGAAACACUUGUCCAGUGC